UGUUCUCUGGACCGUGCAAACAGUCUAGACCAAUGACCUGCAGCAUCAUGCCCUUUGAAGAAGAGGCAAGUUCGGUCACGAUGAAGAAAAAUCAAGGCGUACCCCUUUUAACAAUAGGGAGCAGCUCGAGGCUGCAAAGAGGUUAUCGAUCAUUACAAUGGCACUGUAAAGAGAGGACUCAGAAAUAACAGAGCUUGUUGCUGCUUCUGAGAUAAAGAAAAUUCUCGAUGUCAAGAUUUAAACAGAGAAGAGAAUGAAAUACACAAAAUGG